rnacentral:sRNA from 1 species
GGAGAAACGGGAUCCUGGGGUCAUUACCUAUGACCUCCCAACCCCACCCGGGGAAAAGAAAGGCCCCUCAAAUGCCUGUCCUAUGAUGUGAGUGACGGAGAUCCUGAUCCCUCUCUGCCAGCACGUCUCCUUCCCAGUGCUCCCAGCCACGGCACUGAGCCCUCCCUUCCUCUCCCCCAGAUAUCAGUGGCCCCAUGCCCGACUCCUACAGCCCUCGGUAUGUGGAGGCUGCCUGGUACACUUGGUGGGAGCAGCAGGGCUUCUUCAAGCCAGAAUAUGGGCGUCCUAAUGUGUCAGCAGCAAAUCCCCGAGGUGUCUUCAUGAUGUGCAUCCCACCCCCCAACGUGACAGGCUCCCUGCACCUGGGCCACGCGCUCACCAAUGCCAUCCAGGACUCCCUGACUCGAUGGCACCGCAUGCGUGGGGAGACCACCCUGUGGAACCCUGGCUGUGACCAUGCAGGUAUUGCCACCCAGGUGGUGGUGGAGAAGAAGCUAUGGCGUGAGCAGGGGCUGAGCCGGCACCAGCUGGGCCGCGAGGCUUUUCUACAGGAAGUCUGGAAGUGGAAGGAGGAGAAAGGUGACCGGAUUUACCACCAGUUGAAGAAGCUCGGCAGCUCCUUGGACUGGGAUCGAGCCUGUUUCACCAUGGACCCU